GCGGCCGAGCGCUGAGGGGGCCGAGGUGGAGGCGGGAAGGGAGGGGAGGGCCGGGGGCGAGCAGACGGAGUGCGGCCGCGCCGAUGUGAUGAGUCACGCGAAGACAGCCAGACGCGUAGGUUCCUCACAGGAACCCGGAGGAAACAUGAGAGUUUGUACUGCAUCAUCCGUGAGUCACAGCCCUCGGGAGAAUGCGUUUCAGUGCAAGCAUCCGAAAUAACAGUUGUGAGUUCAUUAUUAGCUGUUAUUCAGUAGUAAUUCGGAGACAGUCGGAGUUCCCAAGAAACUGUGAUCUAGAUAAUCUUCAAGGAAAAAGCAGCAUCAACAAGAUGUAUGAUAAGCUGCAUGUUGUAUGACAAAAAGCAAUUAAGCUAUCCAAGAAAAGAUUUUAAAAGCAUCUUAGAUAGUUGUCUUUUUGUUGUUGUUGUUGUUAAUUGUGUAUUUCUAAUUGUUUAAAACUGAAGUAUAUCUGAGAGUAAUACCUCCUGUUUCACAGUGAAAUGUUAGUUACCAGAUGUCCUUGAUUCAUCUUGGCAGUCCCAUGUGCUUUUCAUCAUUUGUCCCAUUGCAAAGGAUGCUGCUUAAAAUGAAUAGAGUAGAACUUUGUACUCGGGAUACUUUGUCAAAUUUUGGCACUGUGGUCGUGUUAAUAUUGUUUUGUUUUGGUAUUCAGUCAAGAACUUAUGGCCUUAAGCCAUGCCAAUGUUUGUUUCUGGGAGGGAAGGUGAAAAACCAUUCUUAUUAACCUGCAGUGUGGAACAUAUGGUAACUGUGGGUGGUAGGGCUAAGUCAGGCAGCCAGGAAUCUGCUCUCACUUCGCUGUGCAGACACAGCGGGGUGGGCAAUUGCCACAGAAGGUGACCAGAGUGCUCUGUGCUGCUGUCCAGAAAAGGAAGCUCUACAUGUAACGUAUUAUCAAGUAAAGCUCUAAUCGGUGGGAGGUGUGUUUGGGACUAUUAGAGAAUGCUUUUAGUGUUUAGUAACUCUGGAAGCUAAAAUUAGAAUGCUUGCCUGGGUUGCUGGGUAGCAGCAGCAUGAAUGGUUCCUGUGUGCUGAGGUCAGGUGAAUGAAAGAAACUCAAAACUCAUAAAGUUUUGAGUCUGAAAUUGUUGGUUUGCAUCUUAUUGUCAAAAGAAGAUAAGGCUUGCACCUGACCUGAGAAGGAAAUGCGUGUGUUUGUAUUCUGUUUUGUUUCAUCCUGUUGUGUUUUAAGAAGGUUUUACAGUCCCAUGUUAGAAAAAGAUUGUUUUAUUUUAGUCUUGAAAAUGUAUCUUCCUCUUUCUUGUUAUACUGGUGAGAAAUAAGCAGGAUUUAGGCAGGCCUCGGGGAGGUGACCUGAAUAGUAUGGAGUGCAAGGAGAAGUGCUUUUUAAUUCUGUGUAACCUUUGGAAGUAAUUCUUCUGCACUGACAAGUAGGAAACAAAAAAAGAUGGUUGUUGAAAAGCAUUUGACAAUAAUAUACCUGUGUUGUAUGUUCUGAUACUGUAUGAAGGAGUAUAAUGGGAAAACCUAAUGGUGAAUAAAUUGCUGUCAAAGGUGAUCUCUUAAAAAUGCAGGGCUCCUGUAGUAAACCAGAGGUAAUUUUAGAAGCUGUAUUCUGUUUUCCUGGUCAGAUGAAACCAUCAGAAAUGCAUGUAUUUCAAAGCCUUUGACUGCUCUCAUUUCAAAAGCAAUUCUACUGUGGAAUUUCCUGCAGUGUUGUAUAUGGGAUAAUAUAUGAAAUUAUACUUGUAAUAUGCUGCUGGAAGAGCUUAAAAUUCUGUGUAUUCAUAUGAUCAAUAUCUGUCACCUUGUGAAUGUGAAUACAAGCCUGCAUUCUUGUUAUA